UUCAAUUGUAGUCAGCUUGGGAAGCCAGUACCCUGUGUCAAGUUGCGAGCAGACAGCUGCAUCAAGGGAUGUGUGUGCAAACCGGGAUAUUUGAGGGCGGCGAGCGGAAAGUGUGUGGAAGAGGCAGAAUGUCAUAAGGGUAAGUUUCAAUUGUAGUCAGCUUGGGAAGCCAGUACCCUGUGUCAAGUUGCGAGCAGACAGCUGCAUCAAGGGAUGUGUGUGCAAACCGGGAUAUUUGAGAGCGGCAAGCGGAAAGUGUGUGGAAGAGGCAGAAUGUCAAAGGGUAAGUUUCCAUUGUAGUCAGCUUGGGAAGCCAGCAGCCUGUGUCAAGUAGCGAGCUGACAGCUGCAUCAAGGGAUGCGGGAUGCAAGCGGCGAACGGAAAGUGUGUGGAAGAGGCAGAAUGUCAUAAGGGUAAGUUGCCAUUGUAGUCAGCUUGGGAAGCCAGUACCCUGUGUUAAGUUGCGAGCAGACAGCUGCAUCAAGGGAUGUGUGUGCAAACCGGGAUAUUUGAGGGCGGUGAGCGGAAAGUGUGUGGAAGAGGCAGAAUGUCAUAAGGGUAAGUUUCAAUUGUAGUCAGCUUGGGAAGCCAGUACCCUGUGUUAAGUUGCGAGCAGACAGCUGCAUCAAGGGAUGUGUGUGCAAACCGGGAUAUUUGAGGGCGGCGAGCGGAAAGUGUGUGGAAGAGGCAGAAUGUCAUAAGGAACGCUGUACGGGCCCUCACGAGUACUACUCAUGCGGCGGCGCGUGCGACAACGUCUGUGCAACGUUACACGAACAAAGUCAGAACAACUGCCCUAUAAGGAACAUUAGGUGUAACGAUAUGUGUUACUGCGAGGAAGGGUAUGCAAGAGACGGGAACGGCAUAUGUGUUCCUAUAGAAUCUUGUCAACAAUAGCUACCUACAUUCACAUCUGCUCAAUAUUACACGAACAAAGUCAGAACAUCUGCCCUAUAAGGAACAUUAGCUGUAACGAUGUGUGUUACUGUGUAUGCAAGAGACGGGAAGGCAUAUGUGUUCCUAUAGAAUUAUGUCAACAAUAACUACCUAGAUUCAUGUCUGCUCAACGUUACACGAACGGAGCCAGAAGAAUUGGCCUAUAUAAGGAACAUUCUGGUGUACCUAACGAAGUGUGUUACUGCAAGAAAGGGUAUGCAUAAAGGUAGAUAUGAGAAGAUGGGAAAGGCAUAUGUGUUCCUAAUAUAUUUAAUUUUUUAAGUAAAAUAAAAUAUCAUACCUGU